rnacentral:rRNA from 1 species
AGCGAACGCUGGCGGCAGGCCUAACACAUGCAAGUCGAGCGCCCCGCAAGGGGAGCGGCAGACGGGAGAGUAACACGUGGGAACGUACCCUUUGGUUCGGAACAACCCAGGGAAACUUGGGCUAAUACCGGAUAAGCCCUUACGGGGAAAGAUUCAUCGCCGAAGGAUCGGCCCGCGUCUGAUUAGCUAGUUGGUGGGGUAACGGCCCACCAAGGCGACGAUAAGUAGCUGGUCUGAGAGGAUGAUCAGCCUCACUGGGACUGAGACACGGCCCAGACUCCUACGGGAGGCAGCAGUGGGGAAUAUUGGACAAUGGGCGCAAGCCUGAUCCAGCCAUGCCGCGUGGGUGAUGAAGGCCCUAGGGUUGUAAAGCCCUUUCGGCGGGGAAGAUAAUGACGGUACCCGCAGAAGAAGCCCCGGCUAACUUCGUGCCAGCAGCAGCCGCCG